GUCAGGGCAGCAGGGCGCUCUAUAGACGCACUCUUCAUGUGCUUUAUUUUUAUUUGUCUUACAGUAAACUGAACGUCAUAUGAGUUCACCAGCUGUACUUACUGAAGCGAGAUAUUGCAUCAAGUUCCCUUUUCUAGUUUAAUGGCGGCUGAUUUAGCACUUUAAACGGAUACUCGUUUACUCAGACGCACUUUACGUGUUUUUCAGUGCUUUUUGACAGCCACAUCUGCGGCUAUCAGAGUCCACUAGAGGGAAGAGUCAUGGCCACACAUACAGCUGUCGGAAAGUCCCUCACAUUCAGGCCUGACUGUAAACUGGACUUCCUCUGAGAGUGGUGAAGAGAGAAGCCCUGUGUUGACCAACACGCUGUCCAGGAUCAGGAGGCUGUCUGUGUUCCCCAGAAGGAUUUCCUUGACGUCAGCUGUCUCCAGUUCCGCUUCACUUGGAAUCUUUGUUUUUACAACUUGGAAAAAAUCGCCUUCUGCUUCCUCAAAGUCCAGUAAAAUCACUAGCCAGGUCUUGCUGAUGUUGAAGGGAUCAGAAGUGGAUCCGUCAGCCCAUGAAAAUGCCAGCUUUUUGGCUAAAGAUGAUUUGCCACUUCCUUCUUCCCCUUCGAGAAGUAUAGCUUCCCCUCUGCCUGGAACAAUGGAUUGGAGCUCGCACUGGCUUUCCCUGGAGAGGAUAAAACAGUUUAAGAUAAUCAGCUACAAGGAACUGUGUUGGUGUGCAAAGGUCCAUGAGACAGAACAAACAUUGCAUAUACUGAGAUUGCCUUCGCUGUAAAUGAACACAAUUGUAUUACUAAGCCUAUGUGCUUUAUUUGUUUGCAUAUAAGUUACUUAUUACCAGUACUGUGCACAGACGUUUGAGAGGUGGAGGUUCAGGGAACAAAAGGGCAACAUGACUUGUGAAUUAAACGCAAAUUAAUCUAUAGCAUAUUACUGAUUUCAAAUAGUCUAAUACAGUCUUAUCAUGUUUCACAGGAAAUCAACCAGAUUUUUCCAACUUGUUCCCAGAACAAAAUACAACAUUGCAUGCAAUUACACACUGCCACCAGAGAGGUCUCCAAAUCCCAAAAACGUACAUAGUAUAGCUUUAAGGAGUAGAACGUGGCCAUGUGUAAUCUAACACUUGUGAGCAAUGGAUUAUUAUUAUACGACCGGUGGAAAAUACAAAUCGCAAAUUAGCAAGCUUCAUGAAAUGUGUUAGUAAAGUUGGUUUGGCAGUAGCAGCCUAAAAUUUGAGCAGCUGCUGGAGUUAAUACUUUAUAUUUAAUACUUUAUAUAACACUGCUGUCGGAACAAAACUUCGUAGCUCCAUGUUUGUCAUUUUUCAGUUUUUUUACAUAAUGUGAAAAUGCUUGUUGCUCUCUACAUUGUGUGUACAUUUCAUGAUAAAUAGACCAAAGGAAAUGGGCCAAGAUCUCUUGGAAAAAAGCCUGGUUCCAUUGACAUAAUUGACUGUUUUAGAAUAUAUAGUUUUAUAGUCCUUUUUCUUUAUAUUUAAGAUUUUUGAUACUUUUUUCCCCUUAAAUCUGCAUUUCAUAUAUUUUAGCCUUAUGUUUAUAUAUUUUAGCCUUAUGUUUAAAUUGUUUUGUAUGUAGGAAGUGCCAUUGGAUUGCUGCUCAAUUUCGUUGUACACUGUGCAAUGACAAUAAACGCAUCUUAUCUUAUCUUACUUACAUUGAAAGUAAAGUAUGUUUUUUCUUUCUCCUGUAAAGUUAUCAUUUUGGAAAUAC
ensembl:lncRNA